AUUGAACGCUGGCGGCAGGCCUAACACAUGCAAGUCGAACGAGUGGCGGACGGGUGAGUUAUGUCUGGGAAUCUGCCCGAUGGAGGGGGAUAAAUACUGGAAACGGUCGCUAAUCCCGAAUACUAUCGGAUGUGCCCAGAUGGGAUGGGCUCGGAGGUGGUGUAACGGCUCACCUAGGCGACGAUCCCUAGCUGGUCUGUGAGGAUGACCAGCCACACUGGGACUGAGACACGGCCCAGACUCCUACGGGAGGCAGCAGUGGGGAAUAUUGCACAAUGGGCGCAAGCCUGAUGCAGCCAUGCCGCGUGUAUGAAGAAGGCCUUAGGGUUGUAAAGUACUUUCAGCGGGGAGGCGUUACUCGCAGAAGAAGCACCGGCUAACUCCGUGCCAGCAGCCGCGGUAAUAC
rnacentral:rRNA from 1 species